rnacentral:rRNA from 1 species
GAUGAACGCUGGCGGUAUGCUUAACACAUGCAAGUCGAACGGACUCUUCGGAGUUAGUGGCGGACGGGUGAGUAACGCGUGAGAAUCUGGCUUUGGGUUCGGGACAACCACUGGAAACGGUGGCUAAUACCGGAUGUGCCGAGAGGUAAAAGAGAAAUUGCCUGAAGAUGAGCUCGCGUCUGAUUAGCUAGUUGGUGAGGUAAAGGCUCACCAAGGCAGCGAUCAGUAGCUGGUCUGAGAGGAUGACCAGCCACACUGGGACUGAGACACGGCCCAGACGCCUACGGGAGGCAGCAGUGGGGAAUUUACCGCAAUGGGCGAAAGCCGGACGGAGCAAUACCGCGUGAGGGAAGAAGGCUCUUGGGUUGUAAACAUCUUUUCUUAGGGAAGAACAAAAUGACGGUACCUAAGGAAUCAGCAUCGGCUAACUCCGUGC